ACCUGGGAUAGCUCAGCAAGUAAAGCAUGAGACUCUAAUCUCAGGGUUGUGGGUUCGAGACCCAUGUUGGGCA